GAUGAAGAACGCAGCGAAAUGCGAUAAGUAGUGUGAAUUGCAGAAUUCAGUGAAUCAUCGAAUCUUUGAACGCACAUUGCGCCCCAUGGUAUUCCGUGGGGCAUGCCUGUUCGAGCGUCAUAUACCCCCUCAAGCUCCGCUUGGUGUUGGGCGUCUGUCCCGCUUCGCGCGCGGACUCGCCCCAAAGGUAUUGGCAGCGGUCGUGCCAGCUUCUCGCGCAGCACAUUGCGCUUCUCGAGGCACCGGUGGGCCCGCGUCCAUCAAGCUCACCCCCCCAGUUUGACCUCGGAUCAGGUAGGGAUACCCGCUGAACUUAAGCAUAUCAAUAAGCGGAGGA
rnacentral:misc_RNA from 1 species